GGGCCCGGGAGGCCUAUCAAGGCGCAGGCAGCCCUCCCCUUGCCUGCUUCUCUCCCAGGGUGUCGUCUGGCCACCUGGAUCAGGCAUGUGCCUCCUUGCUGCCUGUCACGCCCCCAGGAUCCUCCUACCCCAGCGCCCUGGCUCUUCUCUCUGCCCAGAUGCUCCCCAGUCACCCACUUGGUCAACUUCCUCACCUCCUUUGAGUCUUUGCUUAAAUCUCACCUUCUCAGUAAGACUCUAGAGACCCUGGCUACUUAAAAUCGCAAUCGAACCCCACUCACAACUCCCCAACCCCUUGGCCCGCCUCUGCUUUUUCUUCUUCGGCAGCACUUCCUCACCGUCUACUGCAGGCAGAUGGACUUAUCUGUUAUCUGCAUUGCCUGGCAAGCAGGUCGGCUGCACAAGCACCUUUGUUUAGUUCCCUUAAAUGCAUCCCAAGCACCCACAAAGCCUUGCUGGCCACCUGGUAGACUGCUUAAUCAAUGAACUAAACGAACUCGACCUCAGAGCCCCUGUGCAGCCUGCGACAGCUCCUCCCACCUUCCAGAGGCCAAGCAGCUCUCUCAUCCUCUUCCUCUACAGCAACUAUCUUCAUCCCCCAUCAAAAUGACUUCAUGAAGCCAUCCCCUCCCAGUUCUCAGGGCCAGUCCAGCAAGCUGAAGCCCAAGGAAGGGAUGGAAACUGCCCCAGAGUCUUACCCCAGCAGAGUACUUGAAAGCAAGCAUCCAGCAGUACACAGGCUGCCCCAGGACCCCCGACACUGGGGUUAUCCCAGCAUUCCACUGGCAGCAGCUGCCCUGAACACGGUGCACAGGGACAGCGAACGGGUUUCCCCCUGGCUCCCAUUCUAGGUGAUUACUAGUGUGCCGCCCAACCUGGCAUGGCAAGAAAACACACCAUGAUAGACUAGUGAUGUCUUGGCUGGGAGUGGCAGGACUGGAAGGCAUGCCACUGGGCCGCCAUCCCCACAGGCCUUGCAGGGACUCCAAAGCAGUGCCGCCCAAGGGGAUUCUCCACGAUGAUGGAAAUGUGCUAUGUCAGCACUGCCCGAUUCAGCCACCAGGAGACACGUGGUUCCUCACCACUUCAGAUUUGGCUAACGUAUCUGAGGAACUGAAUUUUUAUUUAAUUUUAAAUUUUAAGUUAAAAUAGUCCCUGGGGGCUGGGCACGGUGGCUCUCGCCUGUAAUCCCAGCACUUUGGGAAGCUAAGGCAGGUGGAUCGCAAGGUCAGGAGUUUGAGAUCAGCCUGGCCAAUAUGGUGAAACCCAUCACUACUAAAAAGUAAAAAAAUGGCUGGGCACGGUGGCUCACGCCUGUAAUCCCAGCACUUUGGGAGGCUGAGGCAGGUGGAUCACAAGGUCAGGAGUUCGAAACCAGCCUGACCAACAUGCUGAAACCCUGUCUCUACUAAACACACACAAAAAAAUUAGCCAGGUGUGGUGGCGCGUGCCUGUAAUCCCAGCUACUCAGGAGGCUGAGGCAGGAGAAUCGCUUGAACCUGGGAGGCAGAGGUUGUAGUGAGCUUAGACGGAGCCACCACACUCCAGCCUGGGCGACAGAGGGGAGACUCCAUCUCAAAAAAAAAAAAAAAAAAAAGUAAAACAAUUAGCUGGGCGUAGUGGUGCGCACCUGUAGUCCCAGCUACUGAGGAGGCUGAGGCAGGAGAAUCGCUUAAACCUGGGAGACAGAAGUUGCAGUGAGCCAAGAUCAUGCCACUGCACUCCAACCUGGGCGACACAGUGAGACUGUCUCAAAAAAAAAAAAAAAAAUAACAGGCUGGGCGCAGUGGCUCAUGCCUGUAGUCCCAGCACUUUGGGAGGCCGAGGCAGGUGGAUCACAAGGUCAGGAGUUCAAGACCAGCCUGGCCAAGAUAGUGAAGCCCCAUCUCUACUAAAAAUACAAAUAUUAGCCAGGCGUGGUGGCAGGCACCUGUAAUCCCAGCUACUCGGGAGGCUGAGACAGGAGAAUCGCUUGAACCCAGGAGGCGGAGGUUGCAGUGAGCCGAUCUCAUGCCACUGCACUCCAGCCUGGCAACAGAGUGAGACUCCGUCUCAAAAAAAUAAAAUAAAAUGAAAAACAACAUAGGCUGAGCAUGGUGGCUCACACCUGUAAUCCCAGCACUUUGGGAGGCCAAGGCGGGUGGAUCACAAGGUCAGGAGAUUGAGACCAUCAUGGCCAUCAUGGUGAAACCCCGUCUCUACUAAAAUACAAAAAAUUAGCCGGGUGUGGUGGCAUGUGCCUGUAAUCCCAGCUAUUUGGGAGGCUGAAGCAGAGGAAUCACUUGAACCCAGGAGGCAGAGGUUGCACUGAGCUGAGAUCACGCUACUGCACUCUAGCCUGGUGACAGAGCAAGACUCCAACUCAAAAACAAAAACAAACAAAAAACAUAAAAUAGCCCCUGGGGGCUGGGCAUGGUGGCUCACACCUAUAAUUCCAGCACUUUGGGAGGCCAGGGUGGGUGGAUCGAUUGAGCCCAGGAGUUUGAGACCAGCCUGGGCAACAGAGCAAAACCUUGUCUCCAUUAAAUGUAAAAAUAAAAAUUGUAAUAGCUCCUGGAGUUCCUGGUUACUUUAUUGGACGCUGAAGGUUUAGACAAAUAGACUUGAAUGCCCCACUGACACCCCAGAGUGAACACUUCCCUGGAAACGCAGGUAGCACUGAACCAAGGCUUGGCACUGUGGCCCAAAGCCCACACUGCCAGGCUUCAAGCCCACACUGCCAGGCUUCAGAAACACCUAAGGUUGGGCCCCAGCUCUAGCACAGGGGCCACAGGUUUCUCAUUCUGUUAGCAGAGACCAGCUGGAGGUCAAGGUCCACAGUGGGUGGAACCUGUUGACAAGAUGUACACAAACCCAUCUCCAACCAGAGUACUCACAGGACAGCAAGGAAGAAGAAUCCAACCCAAAGCAGGCUCUCACUUCCUGAUUAUCAGAGGUGUACCAAGGCCAGACACUAUGUGGGUCUGAGAUGGAUCCCCCAGCCCCUACCUCACCCAGAAGUGGGAAGUGCAGGACCCCUCCCCCAACGUGGGAAUGGCAGACAGGAAAAGAAAAUAGAAAAACAGAACGUUUACCUGUUGUGGACUUUUAGAUAAUAUUUGCUGAGGAACUUUUUAUGACAUGUGGGGCAUUCGACCGGCACCGCUGUACCUUUUCUGUUCUCAGCAGGCUCAGCUGCUAGGGAGCCCGCGCUCAGGGCUGGCUCAGACAUGUAAUCGCCAUCCCCAUCAUCCUCCACUUGAACCACCACUUCCCACUAGAGCACAAUAGGCAGCAGGAGGGGGUGGCGUCACCAAAUGAAUCAGCAGGAGUUGUAGGGACCCAGCUCCAGUUCCAUCCCAAGCCCCAACCCUGACAAGUCCCUUCAUCAGACAAGUUCCUUCAGGGGCCCAAGGCAGAGCAUCUGAAUCUUGGAUUCAGAGGAAAGUGGCUGUGUUUGUGGGGAACUGGAAGCUCAGCUGGAAACACUGCCCUGGGGAAACACCUGUAACCCUGAUGCUGCCCACUCCUCUCAGGAAGGUGGCAACCGUGAACAGCUGGGGCUUGCAGAAAGGUCAGCCUGAGGUCACCAGCUUCCUUUGGAGAAAGCCUGUUCCAAACCCACAUUAACAGAGAUUGUCUUAAGGUCCACAUAUUUUUUUUUUUUUUUUGAGACAGGAUCUUGCUCUGUCGCCUAGGCUGGAGGGUAGUGGCACCAUCUCAGCUCACUGCAACCUCCACUUCCUGGGCUCAAGUGAUCCUCCCACCUCACCCUCCUGAGUAGCUAGGACUACAGGUGUGUGCCACCACACCCGGCUAAUUUUUGUAUAGUCUUUGUACAAAUGAGGCCUCGCCAUGUUGCCCAGGCUGGUCUCGAACUCCCAAGCUAAAGUGAUCCACCCCCCUUGGCCUCCCAAAGUGCUAGGAUUACAGGCGUGAGUGAGCCAUCACACCCAGCCCAGGGUCCCUAUUAUACCAAAAAAGUGUCUAUUCCCUCUAUUUGUCUCCCCAGUCCCAACACCCUGGGCACAGUACCUCAUUACUGCCGCCCUGCAGCUGGGCACCUUCAGCCUCUAAGGGCCUUGGGGGCACUUUGCAGUCCUCGG
rnacentral:lncRNA from 1 species